CUUGAGCGAGCCGAGCCGCAGCGGCCCGUGGCCCGCGCGGUCCUUUCCGUAGGUGGCGAGCAGCGCCUGAGCCUC
rfam:Streptomyces auratus AGR0001 genomic scaffold Scaffold5, whole genome shotgun sequence.